rnacentral:rRNA from 1 species
AUCUCGGGAAACUGAGGCUAAUGAGCGAUAGGUCAAGAUUCCUGGAAUGGGUUUUGGUCUAAACGGCGUGACAGCAUCUUGUCGUGUCCGCCCGAGGAUGGGACUGCGGCCGAUCAGGCUGUUGGUGGGGUAAAGGCCCACCAAACCAGUAACCGGUACGGGCUUUGAGAGAAGGAGCCCGGAGAUGGACACUGAGACAAGGGUCCAGGUCCUACGGGGCGCAGCAGGCGCGAAACCUUCGCAAUGCGCGCAAGCGCGACGAGGUUAUUCCGAGUGAUUUCCGCUGAGGAAAUCUUUUCUUAGAUCUAAAAAGUCUGGGGAAUAAGGGGAGGGCAAGUCUGGUGUCAGCCGCCGCGGUAAUACCAGCUCCUCGAGUGGUCAGGGCGUUUAUUGGGCCUAAAGCAUCCGUAGCCUGCUCGGAAGGUCUCCUGUUAAAUCCAACGGCUCAACCGUUGGCCUGCAAGAGAUACCGCUGGGCUAGAACGCGGCAGAGGCCGACGGCACCCCGAGGGUAGGGGUAAAUUCCUUUGAUCCCCGGAAAA